GUAGAAGGCUGGCUUAGUUAGCUAUUGCAUAUUUCCCUUUGUUUAGUUUGUCUCCAAUGGCCACCAAAAUCUUCCUCUUUUUUUUCACAACUCUUCUGUUUCUUCUUCAAUUCCAUUCAUCUGCGGGACAGAAUGUUGUUCGAGCAGCUUAUUGGUACUAUGGAACAGAAUUCCCUGUUUUUGACAUAGAAUCCACCCUUUUCACCCAUCUUUUUUGCGCAUUUGCUGAUCUUGAUCCCCAAACUAAUCAAGUUACUAUUCCAUCUGCAAAUCAGGCUCAAUUCUCCAACUUCACACAAACCGUCCAACAGAAAAAUCCUUCCAUCAAGACCCUCUUAUCCAUUGGUGGAGGAGGCGGAGAUGAGGUUUUUGCUGCCUUUGAUUCCAUGGUAAGCCAAGCAAGUUCACGCAAAACGUUUAUCGACUCUUCGAUAAGUAUAGCAAGGUCCUAUAAUUUCCAUGGCUUAGACCUUGAUUGGGAAUACCCCAACACCACCACCCGGAUGAGCAACCUGGGCUUGCUUCUUAAUGAGUGGAAAGCUGCUGUGGCCGCUGAGGCUGAGAACUCUGGCAGGACACCAUUGCUUUUAUCCGCAGCAGUUCUUUACCUGCCAUAUUACUACUCAACCUCAGUGCCUUACCCAAUUCAGGCUGUAUCAAACAGCUUGGAUUGGAUCAAUUUAAUGGCCUACGAUUUUUAUGGUCCUGGUUGGUCAACAGUUACAGGGCCACCUGCAGCAUUAUACAAUCCAGGGACUACAAUUAGUGGAGAUUAUGGGGUCACAAGUUGGAUUCAGGCUGGUUUGGAAGCUAGUAAAAUAGUACUGGGGUUUCCUUUCUAUGGUCGAGCUUGGCAACUUGCAAAUGCUAAUGAAAAUGGAUUCUUUGCAGCCACCGUUGGAGCAGCCUUGUCCGACGCCGUAGAUUAUUCGCAGAUCAAGGAUUUUAUUGAUGAAAAUGAGGCAACGGCUCUUUACAAUGAAACUUAUGUUUCGAAUUAUUGUUAUUCUGGCACAACAUGGAUAGGUUACGAUGAUAUACAGAGUGUUUCUGCUAAGGUUGCAUAUGUUAAGGAUAAAGGAUUGCUUGGUUACUUCGCUUGGCAGGUUUCUGGUGAUGAUAAUGAUUGGACUCUUUCUCGCCAAGCGGCAUCUACAUGGGGGGCAUAGACCAAUGUUGGUGGCAGCAUAAACAUGGAUAGCUAUUAGCCAGAACACAUAGAAAGAUUGACAUAUGAAAUGCUCUUCCAAAACUACUUCCAUCUUGACCGACCUUGUGAAAAUUGCAACCGAGCAAGGCGGCUCUUCUACGCUACCGAAAAUAUGACACGGUCAUUCAUGACGAAUGCACCUCAAGCUGUUCAAAAUGUAGACCAAGUCAAACCGUAUUCAAAUUUUCCAUUUUGGUCAAAUUCGGAUUCAACUUUAUCAUUCUAAUGAAGAAUUAUUUAAUGCCUGUGUAUACGCACAUUCACUUACAAUUAUAUAGGGUUAAUUUUUUAUAUUUUAAGAAUUAAUUUUAUUUAGAGUUAAUUUUUUAUAUUUUAAGAAUUAAUUUUUCUUUUUUUGGGUGUAA